AACGCACCUUGCGCUCCUUGGUAUUCCGAGGAGCAUGCCUGUUUGAGUGUCAUUUAAUUCUCAUCCACACUUGGUUUGUUAAGCUAGGCUGUGGUUUGGAUAGUGGGGGUACUUUUGCGGGCUUCGCUUCUGAGGUCAGCUCCCCUAAAAUGUAUCAGCAGAACGGUUUGCGGUCAGUCACCGGUUGUGAUAAUUAUCUACGCCCACGACAAAAAUGCCGCUCUCUGUCUGUUCAAGUCAUUAGUGACAACUUCUGAACACCUUGACCUCAAAUCAGGUAGGACUACCCGCUGAACUUAA
rnacentral:misc_RNA from 1 species